AAAUAAGAAGCAAUAAUUGUAAUUAGUUUCGACCUAACCCAUGAUGAUAAAAUUCAUCCUUAUUUU
rnacentral:tRNA from 2 species